CCGCCAUGUCACAUCUUACGGAAGAGGCGGGGGCUGCCGCGGAGAGGAUAUUUUUUGUUUUGUUUUGUUUUCACAAGAAUCACCUGGAUGCUUCUAAAGAGGAUGUCUACCAGACCCCAUGCCGCACUAAUUAGCUCAGAAGUGGGAACCCUUCUGUGGAAUGCAUCAGUUAAAAUCUCAAGAAACCCCGAGGCAGAGGAUUAAGAGAUACUGAAGAGAAGAUGAGUCUGUGUGCAUUUAUCUGUGCUUAGCCUGCUCCGAAUGGGAACUCAGCUCUCAAAUGAAGACAAGACUGCUCACUCCUGCAGAAAAUGACCUUGUUCUUGAGAGCUGCUGCUAAUUUACAGUGAGGCACUAGGUUUCUACCCAGUGCCACGUGAGCAACCAAUCCAUCUACCCAGGGGCACGGCACUGACGAGCAGCAUCAUUUAGAAGGAAAGAAGUAUGGGUGGUGUUUGUUGUUUCCUGUGUGUUAAGGAAAAUCCAGUGGCUAGCUCCAUGUU
ensembl:processed_transcript E130307A14Rik RIKEN cDNA E130307A14 gene